rnacentral:pre_miRNA from 1 species
AGUGUGACUGCUGAAUCAUAUGGUAAGAGGAUGUUUAGUUUGAAAGAAACUGCCAGACUGUUUUCCAAAUUGGCUGCACUGUUUUCCAUUCCACUAGCAGU